UCUACGGGCGCAAGCACGGAGGCUAAUGGGUCAAAAGAAAGCAUGGAACCUAUGCUUGAACUUGGACGCUCAAGGUAACACAAGUCAUGAGGAUCAUCAAGGAAUAGAGAUCGAGGAUCGAGUCACAUGAAGGAUUGUACGGGGUGUAUAAGAAUGUAAUUUGUUAUAUAUAUAAGUUACGUUUUAUUCUAUAAUUGAGUUAGUCUGAUGUGUUUAAUAUAGAGGAGUUAUUUUAAAAGUGAACUUUCAAGUAAGACAUAAGGUUUAUAAUGAAAGAAAUUUUAUGGUACGUA